rnacentral:rRNA from 2 species
GUGGGGAAUCUUGCGCAAUGGGCGAAAGCCUGACGCAGCCAUGCCGCGUGAAUGAUGAAGGUCUUAGGAUUGUAAAGUUCUUUAGCCUGUGACGAUGAUGACGGUAACAGGAGAAUAAGCCCCGGCUAACUUCGUGCCAGCAGCCGCGGUAAUACGAAGGGGGCUAGCGUUGUUCGGAAUUACUGGGCGUAAAGCGCGCGUAGGCGGUUUUACAAGCCAGAGGUGAAAUGCCUGAGCUUAACUUGGGAAUUGCCUUUGGAACUGUAUGGCUUUGAGGACGAGAGAGGUGAGUGGAAUUCCCAGUGUAGAGGUGAAAUUCGUAGAUAUUGGGAAGAACACCGGUGGCGAAGGCGGCUCACUGGCUCGUUUCUGACGCUGUAGCGCGAAAGCGUGGGGAUCAAACAGGAUUAGAAACCCGGGUAGUCC